AAACAACAGUUUGGCAAAUUGUUAGAUAAAUUGGUGUUUGUGGCGAUGUGCACUUGCAAAUUUUUGCCGUUCAGCUGUGCUGUCAUGUGUAUUUUGUUUUUCUUUUAUUAAAAAGUAUGAAAAAGUAAGUGAAAAAUAAACCUGAUCGAUAUUGUGACCAACUCGAUUUCUCGCGGGAUGGAUGUGCGAAUUAAUUCUGCAUUCGAACAGCGGAAUAAUUGGAUUCGUUAUCAGUAUGCAGAUGUAGGAAUGCCCCCCGUUAACCGUGCUCUCGGGCGAUUCAACACCAGUCCGAUGUCCACCUGCCUAGGUAUGCCAUCCUCUGAGACGAGAACAAUUGUCGUGGCUGCUGAUCCUUAUUAUAAAAGUAUCUGAAGUGGUAAUCAAACGGCGGAGGAACUGGAGUAUGAAGGAUUGUAAUAUGUGCGGGAUUUUCAGUACAAGGCCCUUUUAAUAGAAAAUCUAAAGUUGACUGACUCGUGUAUUGUAUACUAUGACGAAGGAGGUGAAAUAAACACCUGACAUGGACUAUAAGGCACUUAGAAAAUGGCGAUAUAUGUGAAAUUUUCAAACUACCUAUACACUCAGGCAAAUUAAUUAACGAAUUUCAUAAAUUUUCCCUUAUGAAGCAUUGAAAAAUCUAUAAAACCCUAUUUCAGAAGGCUAAUAUGGAUUUCAUACCGUUGAAAUGAUAGCCAUAAUUGGGAAAAUUAUUAAAUAUAUUGAACUUUUCAAAAUUCCAUUGCACGCCUUAUGAUUUCCAUUGCCGUCAUGAAUCAUUUUCUUAGUGAUACCAUAUUUCAUAAGGCUAUUAUGGAUUUCAUAUUAGUUCGAUGAAAAC